UCUCCAUAGGGAAUGGAAGUGCUGCUGGCCACUGAACAGUCCCAAGCCCACAAAUGCUCACCACAAACGUUACUAUUUAAAUCCAGAAGAGAAGGCAGGUGCUUCUUGAUAAAACCAGGGCAGAGUUACAUGGUGUGGAGGAAAAGGGUGGGCUUGAGUUUCUGGCAAGCUCCAUAUGUAAGGGUUAAAAUCACCUGAGGUGAGGGACUCUAAGAGGCGCAGUGCUCAAACCUCCACUUGUACUGACUGUGUGACCUUGAGCAAGUGAUUUCAGCUCUCUGAGCUUCCGAGCUCUGAAGGCCCAGUUAGAUGAUACACCUAGAACACGCCUGGAACGAGAGCGGGUACAUGGCAAACACUAAGGAAGAUCUAGCUACGGUGAUUGCAGUGUCUUCUGUUUAGAGAAGAGGACUGGCUUCUCCUGCACCUGAGGCCUGGAGGGUAAAGCAGAGGAGCAGAAGCAAUAAACAUGGGAGAUGGAAGGAUCUGAAACCAGCAGAGGGCCCACGGUGUUUCAGGCCCUUUUCAAGGAUAAAGGUGUACAAAGAUGAAGAAACACAGUCCUUGCCUCCAGGGGUUUAGAGUCUAGUGUUCCUAUAACGUGUAAUAGCAAUA
rnacentral:lncRNA from 10 species